GGCGGAGGCCCGUAGCCGUGGUGCGGCGGCGGCGGCGGCGCCUGAUCCUGCGGUGGUGGAGGCCCGUAGCCCCGUGGCGGCGGCGGCGGCGCCUCCUUCUGCGGUGGUGGAGGUCCGUAGCCGCGGGGCGGUGGGGGUGGUGCCUGCUGGUGCGGCGGUGGAGGCCCGUAGCCGCGUGGCGGCGGAGGCGGCACGUGCUGGUGCGGGGAUGGAGGCCCGUGGCCGCGGGGUGGUGGAGGCCCGUGACUUCCGGGCGGCGGAGGCGGCACAUGCUGCUGCGGCGGAGGCGGCACAUGCUGCUGCGGCGGAGGAGGCCCAUAGCCGCGGGGCGGUGGAGGCCCGUGGCCGCCGGGCGGCGGUGGAGGUCCAUAGCCGCGGGGCGGCGGAGGCGGAGAGGGAUGUCCCUGCGGAGACCACUGCGGAGCGGGUCCGGGGGGAGGGGGAUUCCUUGGCGGCGCCCACUGCUGCUGAUGGGGCUGGUGAACAUGGUUGGGAGCGGCGGCGGCGGCGGGGGAAGGGGAAGGGUGGUAGGCGUAGGACGACUGGGAAGAUGAGAGGGGGCGGGCGAGGAGGUGGAGGAGGGAACGGGACCUGGCGGAGGAGAUGGCGAAGGAGCGGAGCGGGCGCAGGUGGAUGGCGGCGGUGGCGGCCAUGGUGAAUUGGUGAUUGGCGAGGGCUUCACUUCUCCUCACCUCCGCUUGGGGGGUUUAGCCGUUUAGGCGAAGGCGAGAUUGGGGGAGAUGGAAGAUGUGGAGAUAUUUCCGGGCUC
rnacentral:lncRNA from 1 species